UUAUAUCUUUUGGGGAGAGUUC
rnacentral:rRNA from 1 species